rnacentral:misc_RNA from 1 species
GAUGAAGAACGCAGCGAAAUGCGAUAAGUAAUGUGAAUUGCAGAAUUCAGUGAAUCAUCGAAUCUUUGAACGCACAUUGCGCCCGCCAGUAUUCUGGCGGGCAUGCCUGUUCGAGCGUCAUUUCAACCCUCAGGCCCCCAGUGCCUGGCGUUGGGGAUCGGCGUGGGCGGCGAACGGCUCUCCGGAGCCCGAGCCAAUGCCUGCCGGCCCCGAAAUUCAGUGGCGGUCUCGCUGUAGUCCCCCUAUGCGUAGUAGCACAACUCGCAUUGGAGCUCGGCGGUGGCCAUGCCGUAAAACACCCCACUUCUGAAAGUUGACCUCGGAUCAGGUAGGAAUACCCGCUGAACUUAAGCAUAUCAAUAAGCGGAGGA